rnacentral:rRNA from 1 species
AACGAACGCUGGCGGCAUGCCUAACACAUGCAAGUCGAACGAGACCUUCGGGUCUAGUGGCGCACGGGUGCGUAACACGUGGGAAUUUGCCUCGGGGUAUGGAAUAACUCAGGGAAACUUGAGCUAAUACCAUAUAAUGUCUUCGGACCAAAGAUUUAUCGCCCUGAGAUAAGCCCGCGUAGGAUUAGCUAGUUGGUGAGGUAAAGGCUCACCAAGGCGACGAUCCUUAGCUGGUCUGAGAGGAUGAUCAGCCACACUGGGACUGAGACACGGCCCAGACUCCUACGGGAGGCAGCAGUGGGGAAUAUUGGACAAUGGGGCGAAAGCCUGAUCCAGCAAUGCCGCGUGAGUGAUGAAGGCCUUAGGGUUGUAAAGCUCUUUUACCCGAGAUGAUAAUGACAGUAUCGGGAGAAUAAGCUCCGGCUAACUCCGUGCCAGCAGCCGCGGUAAUGUGACUACUG